rnacentral:rRNA from 1 species
AGUAACGCGUGGAUAACCUGCCUCAUACAGGGGGAUAACAGUUAGAAAUGACUGCUAAUACCGCAUAAGCACCCGGGAGCGCAUGCUCCUGAGUGAAAAGCUCCGGCGGUAUGAGAUGGAUCCGCGUCUGAUUAGCUGGUUGGCGGGGUAACGGCCCACCAAGGCGACGAUCAGUAGCCGACCUGAGAGGGUGGCCGGCCACAUUGGGACUGAGACACGGCCCAAACUCCUACGGGAGGCAGCAG